AGACUGGUUGAGCUCGUCAGGGGUAAACAGUGGGGAGUUUCCUUCAGGUUCUACCAUCCGCUUUUCUGGUUUGUCUCUGUUAGGCAGUCCAUUCUGCUUUGAUCCCGUAGAAGCUAAAAGAGGCUAAAAAAAGCUAAAAAAAUGAGGUAAAGAGGAUCCAGUGUUGAUAAAAGGUUACGACACAGCUGGAGAUGGGGACAUUGAGCUCAGAUUUGCAACUCCUAAACACCUCGCCGGACUCCACGACUGUCCUACUGUCAUGGAUAUUUCAGAGUGAGGAACAUUAAGCCUGGAGAAUCACUGGAGAGUCUGUGAGGCUUCCACAUCACGCCAGACUGCACUUUAUUUUGCAAUAAUUUGAUGCAGUCAGUUCGACCCGUCCUUGUUUAAUGUGGCAUCAACCCUUUACACUUCCCUCCCCAUAUAUUGUAAAGCAAAUCACUUAAUUUAGAGAUAUGAGAAACAUCUGAUAGAGAGAAAAGCCAAAUGGAGGACAUCAUACGAAAUGUAUUUCCAUAAAACAUCCUCCAAAGGCCUUUUCACAUGAUUUCACAAGACUAAUGAUUUUUUUAAAUGAUUUAAUCACAUUUGCACUACUUGGGUGGCAAGUAAAUGCAUAAAUGAAGAAGGGUUGCAUGCUAAACUGUGAAACCUGAUCAGCCCACACAUGACUGUGAUUCAAAAUGCAUGCACUGCUACACCACUUAUUACAACAUAGCCAUGUUUUUCCUGACAUGGUAAUACUUUAGUGUUCUCUAAAGUAUCUCAGAGUACCAUGCAAAUAUGUUUUUUAGCAAGAGAUAUGUUACCUAACCAUCUUUUCCUCAAUGUACCGAGACUUAGUCAGAUUUGCAUCUCUUUCUCACCUCUUCUCCACAUCUGCCUCACAAAGACCGCAAAGGAAUCUUCUUGGAUGCAAUAAGCGAUGUUAACUGUUCAUUUCAAAACCCUUAUCUUUCUUGCCGUUUUAGAGAGAAAAUUGCAUCAAGUUUCUUAUCUGGGUGUAGUGGAUAAUUAGGGAAAUACCUAGAGUUAAGCCAAGCAUGGGAGAAGCAGGAGCUGGGGUGGGACGGCGGGGGUUACCGGCUUGUUGUGACUGUGUGGGUUCCUGGCAUGCUGAUUUGUGACUGUAGGGAAAAAUCACAUUGCCAGGGAUUACCACACUGCCAUGGCCUUCCCAGCAGUUCACCAGGAAAUGGACAAAAAAUGGAGGAAAUCAAAUGGAGGAAAUUUGAGGAAAAAGGCACCUG